rnacentral:rRNA from 1 species
GAGUUUGAUCCUGGCUCAGAUUGAACGCUGGCGGAAUGCUUUACACAUGCAAGUCGAACGGCAGCAUAGAGAGCUUGCUCUCUGAUGGCGAGUGGCGAACGGGUGAGUAAUAUAUCGGAACGUGCCUAGUAAUGGGGAAUAACUAGCUGAAAGGUUAGCUAAUGCCGCAUACGACCUACGGGUGAAAGCAGGGGAUCUUCGGACCUUGCGUUAUUAGAGCGGCCGAUAUCUGAUUAGCUUGUUGGUGGGGUAAUGGCCUACCAAGGCGACGAUCAGUAGCUGGUCUGAGAGGACGAUCAGCCACACUGGAACUGAGACACGGUCCAGACUCCUACGGGAGGCAGCAGUGGGGAAUUUUGGACAAUGGGGGCAACCCUGAUCCAGCCAUUCCGCGUGAGUGAAGAAGGCCUUCGGGUUGUAAAGCUCUUUCGCAAGAGAAGAAAACUUGCUAUCUAAUAAAUAGUAAGUAUGACGGUAUCUUGACAAGAAGCACCGGCUAACUACGUGCCAGCAGCCGCGGUAAUACGUAGGGUGCAAGCGUUAAUCGGAAUUACUGGGCGUAAAGCGUGCGCAGGCAGUUUUAUAAGUCAGAUGUGAAAUCCCCGAGCUCAACUUGGGAACUGCGUUUGAAACUAUAAGACUAGAGUGUGUCAGAGGGGGGUAGAAUUCCAAGUGUAGCAGUGAAAUGCGUAGAGAUUUGGAGGAAUACCAAUGGCGAAGGCAGCCCCCUGGGAUAACACUGACGCUCAUGCACGAAAGCGUGGGGAGCAAACAGGAUUAGAUACCCUGGUAGUCCACGCCCUAAACAGAUGUCUACUAGUUGUUGGUGGAGUAAAAUCCAUGAGUAACGCAGCUAACGCGUGAAGUAGACCGCCUGGGGAGUACGGUCGCAAGAUUAAAACUCAAAUGAAUUGACGGGGGCCCGCACAAGCGGUGGAUUAUGUGGAUUAAUUCGAUGCAACGCGAAAAACCUUACCUGGCCUUGACAUGUACCGAAUUUAGCAGAGAUGCUU